CUAGAUGUUCGGGGCCGCACGCGCGCUACACUGAAGGAAUCGACGUGUGCUCUCCCGGUCCGGCAGGACUGGGUAACCCGUUGAAACUCCUUCGUGAUAGGGAUAGGGGCUUGUAACUGUUCCCCUUGAACGAGGAAUUCCUAGUAAGCACGAAUCAUAAAUUCGUGUUGACUUUGUCCCUGCCCUUUGUCCACACCGCCCGUCGCUACAAGCGAUUGAAUGACUUAGUGAGGUCUUCGGACUGGCCCGGGGCCCGUCACCCGGUCGAUCCUCGGCGCCGGAAAGAUGACCGAACUUGGCCAUUUAGAGCAUGUAAAAGUCGUAACAAGGUUACC
rnacentral:rRNA from 2 species